AAGAAGUCAAUAAAACUGCUGGAGAACAAUUAUGUCACAUAACAUUUACCUCAGGAAAGCCAUUUAAUUACCAUAUAUGUAGCACGUUAGUUGGCUAGAAAAAGAGAGUUAUAGAGAAUAUUUAGCUAAUUAUCUGUAGGCCUACUAUAUUAUAUAUUUAUUAUAUUUUUACUUAUAUCAUUAAAUACAGUUGUUGUUAUAAUAAUAAAAUGCAAUAUAUUUCAUUUGAGUUAUAUGUAACCUAAAAAUUACUACCAGCUGAUAGGACUGAUUAGGUGAGUUUAUUUUUGUCUUGAGAAAAAUGAAUGCCUAUAUCUUGUGUAGCCUACCUAAUAUUUAUCCAAAUUAGUCAAUAUUGAUUAAAAUCACAAGCACUGAACUGAAAUCAUAAAAUUUGUCAAGCACAAAAAACGUGGCUAACCAGAAAUUGUACCAUGUAAACAAUAUAACAAUUAAACAUGUUGUUACUAAACCUAAUACAAUUCUGCUUAGUUACUAAAAUGUUCUGAUUUUUUUUUUUUUUGCACCAAUCUAUCUGAAGUUGGAUGUACAUACAUCUAAUGAAUUAAAUUGGAGUGUUUAAUCAAUGACAAAGCUUCAAAAAGGUGUUUUGACUGUUUUUAUGUCAGGCGAUACAACCAAAUAGUGAGUAUGGGGCGAAAAGAGCAGGAGAAGACGGAAGAGAGAGCAGGCAGCAGCAUCAUUGUCGCAGAAUAUUGAACAUAUGUUCAAAAAAACUGGCAAACAGGGUAAGGUUGUUAUAUUUACUACAUAACCUAUAAUAUUUGAUAGCUAACAGUCGUCAACCCCACUGGAGCAGAAGGUAGCUGAGGUUGUUCCUGAUAUACAGUAAAUUUUCUAUCUAAGAUCUAUAAACCACAAAAUUAUAAAAACACCAAAAUAUUUGUAAUUUUUUUUUUAAGUACCUUGUUUGUCUUCCAAAAAGUAUGCAGCCAACUGUUACUGGAUAACAGGAACAUAUAACUUUGCAAGUAAACUAUACAAGUGUAUUAAUGAAACAGUUGGAUUCACUUUAUACUACAUCACUGACCAAUGCAUAUACUGUAUAUUUACAGAUGAUUCACAACAGCUCAGGGAAGGUCUAGGUGAAAUGCAACAGCUCAGCGAAGGUCUAGGUGAAAUGCGACAGCUCAGGGAAGGUCUAGGUGAAAUGCGACAGCUCAGGGAAGGUCUAGGUGAAAUGCGACAGCUCAGCGAAGGUCUAGGUGAAAUGCGACAGCUCAGUGAAGGUCAAGGUCAAGGUGAAAUGCGACAGCUCAGGGAAGGUCAAGGUGAAAUGCGACAUCUCAGGGAAGGUCUAGGUGAAAUGCGACAGCUCAGGGAAGGUCUAGGUGAAAUGUGACAGCUCAGCGAAGAUCAAGGUGAAAUGCGACAGCUCAGGGAAGGUCAAGGUGAAAUGCGACAGCUCAGCGAAGGUCAAGGUGGAAUGCGACAGCUCAGCGAAGGUCAAGGUGAAAUGCGACAGCUCAGGGAAGGUCUAGGUGAAAUGCGACAGCUCAGCGAAGGUCUAGGUGAAAUGCGACAGCUCAGCGAAGGUCAAGGUCAAGGUGAAAUGCGACAGCUCAGCGAAGGUCAAGGUGAAAUGCGACAGCUCAGGGAAGGUCUAGGUGAAAUGCGACA